rnacentral:rRNA from 1 species
UACGGAGGGAGCUAGCGUUGUUCGGAAUUACUGGGCGUAAAGCGCACGUAGGCGGCUAUUCAAGUCGGGGGUGAAAGCCCGGGGCUCAACCCCGGAACUGCCCUCGAAACUAGGUAGCUAGAAUCUUGGAGAGGCGAGUGGAAUUCCGAGUGUAGUGGUGAAAUGCGUAGAUAUCCGGAGGAACACCAGUGGCGAAAGCGGCCACCUGGACUGCACCUGACGCUGACACGCGAAAGCUAGGGGAGCGAACGGG